UGGGGAAUUUUGGACAAUGGGCGAAAGCCUGAUCCAGCAAUGCCGCGUGUGUGAAGAAGGCCUUCGGGUUGUAAAGCACUUUUGUCCGGAAAGAAAUCCUUGGCUCUAAUACAGUCGGGGGAUGACGGUACCGGAAGAAUAAGCACCGGCUAACUACGUGCCAGCAGCCGCGGUAAUACGUAGGGUGCAAGCGUUAAUCGGAAUUACUGGGCGUAAAGCGUGCGCAGGCGGUUUGCUAAGACCGAUGUGAAAUCCCCGGGCUCAACCUGGGAACUGCAUUGGUGACUGGCAGGCUAGAGUAUGGCAGAGGGGGGUAGAAUUCCACGUGUAGCAGUGAAAUGCGUAGAGAUGUGGAGGAAUACCGAUGGCGAAGGCAGCCCCCUGGGCCAAUACUGACGCUCAUGCACGAAAGCGUGGGGAGCAAACAGGAUUAGAUACCCUGGUAGUCCACGCCCUAAACGAUGUCAACUAGUUGUUGGGGAUUCAUUCCUUAGUAACGUAGCUAACGCGUGAAGUUGACCGCCUGGGGAGUACGUUCGCAAGAUUAAAACUUAAAUGGAAUUGACGGGGUCAUAGCUGUUUCCU
rnacentral:rRNA from 1 species